rnacentral:rRNA from 1 species
AUACAGAGGGUGCAAGCGUUAAUCGGAAUUACUGGGCGUAAAGCGCACGUAGGUGGUUCAUUAAGUCAGAUGUGAAAGCCCCGGGCUCAACCUGGGAACUGCAUUUGAAACUGGUGAGCUAGAGUAUGGUAGAGGUAAGUGGAAUUCCAGGUGUAGCGGUGAAAUGCGUAGACAUCUGGAGGAACAUCAGUGGCGAAGGCGACCUACUGGACCAAUACUGACACUGAGGUGCGAAAGCGUGGGGAGCAAACAGGAUUAGAAACCCCAGUAGUCC